ensembl:snRNA U1 U1 spliceosomal RNA
UUACUUACCUAGCACAUCAGAUACCAGAACCCCAAAGGUGCUUUUCCCCUGGUAAGGCUCAUACAUUGCACUCGGUGUUUGUCAAUCCGUAGGAUUUCCCCUAAUUCAGAAAAGUCAACUGUGUGAUUUGUGGCAGUGGGGGACUGCUUGUUCACUCUACCUUG